AUCCUACGGGACGCAGCAGUGGGGGAUAUUGCACAAUGGGGGAAACCCUGAUGCAGCGACGCCGCGUGAGCGAUGAAGUAUUUCGGUAUGUAAAGCUCUAUCAGCAGGGAAGAAAAUGACGGUACCUGACUAAGAAGCCCCGGCUAACUACGUGCCAGCAGCCGCGGUAAUACGUAGGGGGCAAGCGUUAUCCGGAUUUACUGGGUGUAAAGGGAGCGUAGACGGCAGAGCAAGUCCGAAGUGAAAACCCAAAGCUCAACUAUGGGAAUGCUUUAGAAACUGCUCAGCUAGAGUGCAGGAGAGGC
rnacentral:rRNA from 1 species